AGCAGCCGCGGUAAUUCCAGCUCCAAUAGCGUAUAUUAAAGUUGUUGCAGUUAAAAAGCUCGUAGUUGAAUUUCGGGGUCAGUAGGUUGGUCGUGCCACCGGUACGUACUGGUCUCACUGAUUCCUCCUUCCUGAUGAGCUGUAAUGCCAUUAAUUUGGUGUUGCGGGGAGACUGGACUGUUACUUUGAAAAAAUUGAGUGUUUAAAGCAGGCUAACGCUUGAAUACAUUAGCAUGGAAUAAUGAAAUAGGACGUUCGAUCUUAUUUUGUGGUUUCUAAGAUUGACGUAAUGAUUAAUAGGGAUAGUUGGGGGCAUUAGUAUUCAAUUGUCAGAGGUGAAAUUCUUGGAUUUAUUGAAGACUAACUACUGCGAAAGCAUUUGCCAAGGAUGUUUCAUUAAUCAAGAACG
rnacentral:rRNA from 1 species